rnacentral:tRNA from 1 species
GCUUCUGAAAGAUAACAGUUAUCUAUU